AUUGAACGCUGGCGGCAUGCCUUACACAUGCAAGUCGAACGGUAACAGGUCUUCGGAUGCUGACGAGUGGCGAACGGGUGAGUAAUACAUCGGAACGUGCCUAGGAGUGGGGAUAACUACUCGAAAGAGUGGCUAAUACCGCAUGAGAUCUACGGAUGAAAGCAGGGGAUCGAAAGACCCUGUGCUACUAGAGCGGCGCGUGGAAGAUUAGGUAGUUGGUGGGAUAAAGGCUGAGCAAGCCGACGAUCUGUAGCUGGUCUGAGAGGACGAUCAGCCACACUGGGACUGAGACACGGCCCAGACUCCUACGGGAGGCAGCAGUGGGGAAUUUUGGACAAUGGGCGAAAGCCUGAUCCAGCAAUGCCGCGUGCAGGAUGAAGGCCUUCGGGUUGUAAACUGCUUUUGUACGGAACGAAAAGCCCCGGGUUAAUACCCUGGGGUCAUGACGGUACCGUAAGAAUAAGCACCGGCUAACUACGUGCCAGCAGCCGCCGUAA
rnacentral:rRNA from 1 species